UGCCAGCCGCCGCGGUAAUACGUACUGUGCGAACGUUAUUCGGAAUCACUGGGCUUAAAGGGUGCGUAGGCGGCGUUGUAAGUCAGAGGUGAAAUCCCACCGCUUAACGGUGGAACUGCCUUUGAUACUGCAGUGCUUGAAUCAGGCUGAGGUCAGCGGAAUGAGUCAUGUAGCGGUGAAAUGCAUAGAUAUGACUUAGAACACCAAUUGCGAAGGCAGCUGGCUAGACCUGCAUUGACGCUGAGGCACGAAAGCGUGGGGAGCGAACAGGAUUAGAUA
rnacentral:rRNA from 1 species